rnacentral:rRNA from 1 species
CAGCAGCCGCGGGAAUACGAAGGGUGCAAGCGUUAAUCGGAAUUACUGGGCGUAAAGCGUGCGUAGGCGGUGAGUUAAGUCUGUUGUGAAAUCCCCGGGCUCAACCUGGGAAUGGCAAUGGAAACUGGACGGCUAGAGUGUGUCAGAGGAUGGUGGAAUUCCCGGUGUAGCGGUGAAAUGCGUAGAGAUCGGGAGGAACAUCAGUGGCGAAGGCGGCCAUCUGGGACAACACUGACGCUGAGGCACGAAAGCGUGGGGAGCAAACAGGAUUAGAGACCCGUGUAGUCCCUGUCUCUUAUAC